rnacentral:misc_RNA from 1 species
UGGGUUUGACAUAUACCGGAAAGCCGUAGAGAUACGGCCCCCCUUGUGGUCGGUAUACAGGUGGUGCAUGGCUGUCGUCAGCUCGUGUCGUGAGAUGUUGGGUUAAGUCCCGCAACGAGCGCAACCCUCGUUCCAUGUUGCCAGCGGGUUAUGCCGGGGACUCAUGGGAGACUGCCGGGGUCAACUCGGAGGAAGGUGGGGAUGACGUCCCUUACAGCGUAC